GAAAGGAAAAAUUUGUGGCUUACAACUGGAUCCCAUCAGACCUCCAAAGUUAAGCGUCCCUGGGCUUGAAUAGUACUGGGCUGGGUGACCACCCGGGAAGUCCAAGUGACCCCCUCU
rnacentral:rRNA from 1 species